rnacentral:rRNA from 1 species
GACGUAGGGUGCGAGCGUUGUCCGGAUUUAUUGGGCGUAAAGAGCUCGUAGGCGGUUCGUCGCGUCGGCUGUGAAAACCCGGAGCUCAACUCCGGGCCUGCAGUCGAUACGGGCGGACUUGAGUGUUGCAGGGGAGACUGGAAUUCCUGGUGUAGCGGUGAAAUGCGCAGAUAUCAGGAGGAACACCGGUGGCGAAGGCGGGUCUCUGGGCAACUACUGACGCUGAGGGGCGAAAGCGUGGGGAGCGAACAGG